UACGUAGGGGGGCAAGCGUUGUCCGGAAUCAUUGGGCGUAAAGCGCGUGUAGGCGGCUCGGUAAGUCUGCUCUGAAAGCCCGGGGCUCAACCCUGGGAGGCGGGUGGAUACUGCUGAGCUCGAGUCCGGAAGAGGCGAGUGGAAUUCCUGGUGUAGCGGUGAAAUGCGCAGAUAUCAGGAAGAACACCAAUGGCGAAAGCAGCUCUCUGGGACGGUACUGACGCUGAGACGCGAAAGCGUGGGGAGCGAACAGG
rnacentral:rRNA from 1 species